AAAUUGAAGAGUUUGAUCAUGGCUCAGAUUGAACGCUGGCGGCAGGCCUAACACAUGCAAGUCGAGCGGUAGCACAGAGAGCUUGCUCUCGGGUGACGAGCGGCGGACGGGUGAGUAAUGUCUGGGAAACUGCCUGAUGGAGGGGGAUAACUACUGGAAACG
rnacentral:rRNA from 2 species